UAAAGUGACUGAAAAUGCUUACUGCACAAGCUAUGUCUGGUCUGGACCACUGUGACAGACAUAAUAGGCUCCCUAUUGCUGACUGAUAUAUCUCUUGAUCACAGGCUUCACUUUCGUCCUCACCCAAACUGUUAUGAAAAUCUGUACUCAUAGGUGUUGGAGCAGUAUUACAAUUUUUCAUGUUAUAUCUCUCCAACAACUGUUC